rnacentral:rRNA from 1 species
UACGUAGGCAGCAAGCGUUGUUCGGAAUUACUGGGCGUAAAGAGUGUGUAGGCGGUGCUCUAAGUUCGGUGUGAAAUCUCCCGGCUCAACUGGGAGGGUGCGCCGGAAACUGAGGUGCUGGAGCGCGGGAGAGGAAAGCGGAAUUCCUGGUGUAGCGGUGAAAUGCGUAGAUAUCAGGAGGAACACCAGUGGCGAAGGCGACUUCCUGGCCUGUUCUUGACGCUGAGGCGCGAAAGCUAGGGUAGCAAACGGG